GAUGAACGCUGGCGGCGUGCCUAAUACAUGCAAGUCGAGCGAACGGACGAGAAGCUUGCUUCUCUGAUGUUAGCGGCGGACGGGUGAGUAACACGUGGAUAACCUACCUAUAAGACUGGGAUAACUUCGGGAAACCGGAGCUAAUACCGGAUAAUAUUUUGAACCGCAUGGUUCAAAAGUGAAAGACGGUCUUGCUGUCACCUAUAGGUGGAUCCGCGCUGCAUUAGCUAGUUGGUAAGGUAACGGCUUACCAAGGCAACGAUGCAUAGCCGACCUGAGAGGGUGAUCGGCAACACUGGAACUGAGCCACGGUCCAGACUCCUACGGGAGGCAGCAGUAGGGAAUCUUCCGCAAUGGGCGAAAGCCUGACGGAGCAACGCCGCGUGAGUGAUGAAGGUCUUCGGAUCGUAAAACUCUGUUAUUAGGGAAGAACAUAUGUGUAAGUAACUGUGCACAUCUUGACGGUACCUAAUCAGAAAGCCACGGCUAACUACGUG
rnacentral:rRNA from 1 species